UACGUAUGGGGCGAGCGUUGUCCGGAAUUAUUGGGCGUAAAGGGUACGCAGGGGGUUUUGUUGGUCUACAUUAAAAGGCAUUGGCUCAACCAAUGUUCGUUGUGGAAACUAUAAAACUUGAGUAGAUGAGGGGCAAGUGGAAUUCCUAGUGUAGCGGUGAAAUGCGUAGAUAUUAGGAGGAAUACCAGUGGCGAAGGCGACUUGCUGGAAUAUAACUGACGCUGAGGGACGAAAGCGUGGGGAGCAAACAGG
rnacentral:rRNA from 1 species